AAGUUAGUGUUCCAUGAACUCAAUCCCACAUAAAUGCUGUGGCAUAAGUUAUCUAGCUACAUUCUAUUACCGGUUGACACCCCCUUGAAACUGAAAUAAGUCUUAUGGGAUAACAUACACAAGUAUGCCUCUAUCAAUUGGAUGUUUGAUGGGUAACUAGAAAUAUCGUAAGAAAAGAAUCUUACGCCUAAAAAUCCCAUGUCUUUCUUGGUUGGACCAACCCAACCGGCCAUUUCCGACAAGUCUUUCUUCAUUUUGAGAGCAAGAAGCGGA
rnacentral:lncRNA from 1 species